GGCUCCCUGUAAUAUAUAAAUAGGGAGUCGGACCUGCCCAGUGAAUUUUUCAACGGCCGCGGUACUCUGACCGUGCAAAGGUAGCAUAAUCAUUUGCCUUAUAAUUGAAGGCUUGUAUGAAUGGUUUGACAAGAAUAUAGCUGUCUCUUUAUAAUUAAAUAGAAUUUUAUUUAUAGGUGAAGAAGCCUAUAUUAUAUUGAAAGACAAGAAGACCCUAUCGAGCUUGAAAGAAAUUAAUAAAUUUUAUAUAUUUAAUAUAAUUUAGAAAAUUAAUUAUUAAAAAUUUUGGUUGGGGCGACUAAGGAACAAAUAAAGCUUCCUUUAUUUUAGUAACACAAACAGGUAAAGAUCCAAAAACUUUGAUUAAAGGAAUUAGUUACCGUAGGGAUAACAGCAUUAUCUUUUUUGAGAGCUCUAAUCGAAAAAAAGGUUUGUGACCUCGAUGUUGGACCAGAAUAUCCUAAAGAUGCAGCCGUCUUUAAGGGUUGGUCUGUUCGACCAUUAAAAUUCUACGUGAUCUGAGUUCAGACCGGCGUGAGCCAGGUCAGUUUCUAUCUUCAAUUUUUAAAAUAAGUUUAGUACGAAAGGACCAAUUUAUUACAAUAUAUUUGUUUACUUAGAUGAAAUAUAAAGAAAAAUUAAAUUGAAUAUAAAUAUAAUCAAAUUAGCAAAGAUAAUGCAAUUGACUUAGGAUCAAUAGACAUAGGUGAAAUCCCUUUAUUUGAUAUAAUAUAAAGAUGGCAGAUUAA
rnacentral:rRNA from 1 species